AGUGAACGCUGGCGGUAGGCCUAGCACAUGCAAGUCGAACGGCAGCACAGUAAGAGCUUGCUCUUACGGGUGGCGAGUGGCGGACGGGUGAGGAAUACAUCGGCAUCUACUUUUUCGUGGGGGAUAACGUAGGGAAACUUACGCUAAUACCGCAUACGACCUACGGGUGAAAGCAGGGGAUCUUCGGACCUUGCGCGAUUGAAUGAGCCGAUGUCGGAUUAGCUAGUUGGCGGGGUAAAGGCCCACCAAGGCGACGAUCCGUAGCUGGUCUGAGAGGAUGAUCAGCCACACUGGAACUGAGACACGGUCCAGACUCCUACGGGAGGCAGCAGUGGGGAAUAUUGGACAAUGGGCGCAAGCCUGAUCCAGCCAUACCGCGUGGGUGAAGAAGGCCUUCGGGUUGUAAAGCCCUUUUGUUGGGAAAGAAAAGCAGCAGGUUAAUACCCCGCUGUUCUGACGGUACCCAAAGAAUAAGCACCGGCUAACUUCGUG
rnacentral:rRNA from 1 species